rnacentral:misc_RNA from 1 species
CUUGCAACCUCAAGCCAUCCAUGCAUGUUACAAUUUAAAAGUGAGCCCAUUCGCCUUUUACUGACUAUCCUGAAGCUUGCACCUCUUGUUACUGGCUAUAUAUCAGAGUCCCAGACUUUGAAUAUUAAGCUCAAAGGUUUUACUGAAGGAAAUAUACCGACGGCCUGCCUGCGGGUUACAAUUGAACAGCGAGCAGAGUUCAAUCCUGG